rnacentral:lncRNA from 1 species
GAAUCUUCUUGCUGAUCUACCUGCUGCCACACAUUUCUUUUUCAGUCACUGCAAAUAUCUUGGAUUUCCCCUUUUCUUACUACACAAUGACAGAUUGCCCUGAACACGGACAAGAGAGCCAGUUAAACGGUUCACUUCUUGAUGCUGGGAGCAUAGGAAGCUAAUGAACAUCCUGUUCUUCAUAUGUUAAAUACCUGUGAAACAAUGGAAAUAUAGGUUGUUUUUCGCCUCAGCUGUAGAGCUGCUAAUAUCUGACUACUAUGCAUGGAGUGGGGAGACUCAUUCCUUAUAAUCCAACAAAUCCACAUCCCAUUUUAAAUUUAGCAGCAAGUGUAUCUGAAAGGAGCAAUGUUCCCUCUGCUUUUACCAAGGAAGAAGAGUAACUGCAGGUAGUGGCAGUGCUGUGAAAUCUGAGAUUUGUCCUAAGGUCAGGAGUGUGGAAGGAGCAGGGGUUCUGAUCACAACUGAUCUGCAUCUUCUGAGACAUUAUUAUCAUCCUGAACUAAACAAAAGAGUAAGUGCUCUUAAGAAAACUGAAGUUGACAGAGAAAAGGGGCUGAGCCAUGAUGAUUAUAUCCAGAUGGAGAUGCCCCUUACUCACUGGAUUCAUGGAAUACCACUCGCAGGAGAUGCAGUCUCUGCUCUCACCUGGGAAAACAUGAAGCAGAUAAGAAGAGACUUGUGUAGUGGCAGAGCUUUCACCACAGUGGACGUCUGUACUCCUGCUUUCAGGAAGCAGAACACCAAAUGGAGCUGGCUCCUUUCAAGCCCCAACUCAGCUGAAGGCAGAGUCCCUGCCUCAGGGAUGUCAUCACAAUCUGGUCCGUGCUUUGUACGGUGGCAAACCCGGCAUGGGGAUGGCGGCAGCAGGCAUUUUCCCUGAGCUCCUCUGUGUCUGUUCCCACAGGAGCCUGGCAUGGGGACCACACACAGGCGCCGAGGUCAGGAGGAACGGGUCCAGAAGCAGGGGUAUGUCUGGGGGCUGAGAGGCUGCGGCAGGUGAGGUUUGACUCCGAAGGGCACUUUGGGAACGCACCUCCGCUGGCAGGGUGACGGCACUGGGUUAGAAUAGGCAUUUGUAAGCUGAGAAAAUCGAGACAAGAUGCGGAACGAAAUGCCAGUCAUUUCUGUAUCUGUGAAUUCUUAAUGUGCGGAAUAAAACGUUAGCAUGUAACA